GACGUAGGAGGCGAGCGUUGUCCGGAGUUACUGGGCGUAAAGGGUGCGCAGGCGGCCCCUUAAGGUGGCGGUGAAAGCUCCUGGCUCAACUGGGAGAGGGCCGUGACGACUGGGGGGCUUGAGGCUCGGAGAGGGACGUGGAAUUCCGGGUGGAGCGGUGAAAUGCAUAGAUAUCAUUUGGAACGCCAAUGGUGAAAACAACUCGCUGGGGGUGUGCUGACGCUGAGACACGAAAGCCAGGGGAGCGAACGGG
rnacentral:rRNA from 1 species